rnacentral:lncRNA from 10 species
GGGGCGGGGCCAGCGGCAUGCCUAAGGGGUGGAGUCAAGGCCAAGGGGCGAGGAAAAAGCUUGGGACCGGAUAAGGGGCGGGACCAAGGCCAAGGGCGCCUGCUUCGGGCUCCCGACCUCUGCGCCCUCGGGAGUCCGGGUCCUCACGCGCAUCCCGAGCCCUGGGGGCCUGGAUGCGGCCCACGGCCCCGACUCAAGGGCGAGGCUCAGGGGGGAGGGCGCAAGACGCCUCCGCACAGAACUGUGACCGAGGAGCAGGGGGGCUGCCGGGGAGGGCGCACCUGUCCCCGUGCACGCGCUGUGGCCUCCGUGGAGCUCUGUCCUCUCUUGGUUCCCGCGCUAAGGUCUCGGUGUCCGCUCCGGAUUCGCACGUACACUGAGGGCUUUGGAGCCUCCCAGUCCCGCCGCUCCCUGGCGACCUCAGGAGCCCGGGCGCCCCCUCCCUCCCACGGGCAGCUGGAGCCUGAGUCAGAGUUGCCUCGCGGGAGACAAAGACAGCCGUGGGCCCUCCCUCCAGAACCCCUCCUGGUAUCGGCAUUUGCACCAGCAGGGAGCCCAGAGUCCCCAAGAGCCUCUGCUUCUUGGGUAACUGCAUCAUUGAGGAAAUGGAAGUGAAAUUAGCUUAGGAAUGAGGCCUUGGAGGCUUGUGGGUGGCAUCCGCGGUCACGGUCUUCUCAGCCUGGCUUCAGUGUCUCUGGGGCCCACUGCUUCUCCCUGUAACCCUGCCGAAAUGCUGGUAGCCCAUCUUGCAGAUGACAAAACUGAGGCCUAGAAAGGUUGAAUGGCCCUGAAGAGCAGGAAUUCCAACCCGGUCAGCCUGGCUCCAAAAUAAAGGAUAAAGGCUGGGCGCAGUGGCUCGCACCUGUAAUCCCAGCACUUUGGGAAGCCAAAGCGGGCCGAUAACUUGAAGUCAGGAGUUCGAGACCAGCCCUGCCAACAUGGUGAAACCCCCGUCUCUACUAAAAAUACAAAAAUUAGGCCGGGCCCCGUGGCUCACGCCUGUAAUCCCAGAAUUUUGGGAGGCCGAGGCGGGCGGAUCACCUGAGGUCAGGAGUUCGCGACCCGCCUGAUCAAUACGGUGAAACCCUGUCUCUACUAAAAAUUACAAAAAUUAGCCAGGCGUGGUGGCGUGCACCUGUAAUCUCAGCAACUCCGGAGGCUGAGGCAGGAGAAUCGCUUGAACCUGGGAGGCGGAGGUUGGAGUGAGCCAAGAUCGCGCCACUGGACUCCAGCUGGGCGACAGUGUGAGACUCCGUCUCAAAACAAAACAAAACAAAAAUUAGCCAGGCAUGGUGGCGGGUCCUUAUAAAUCCCAGCUACUCGGGAGGCUGAGGCAGGAGAAUUGGUUGAAUCCAGGAGGCAGAGGUUGCAGUGAGCCGAGAUCACACCACUGCACUCCAGCCUGGGCAACACAGAGAGACUCCGUUUCAUAAAUAAAUAAAUAAAACCUAGAAACUCUGGGCAUGUGGGGCUGGAAAGGGGUUCCAGGAAGAGAGGGCAGCCUGCGUGACCAGACAGGGGGCAAAUGAGCCUGGGUCAGGUGUUGGCAAGGGCCCUGUCGUGGGGUAGGAGUGCCUCCCGGGUGUGCUGAACUGGCCAGAAUGUGGAUUCGGGACUCAUAGUGCAGGUUCCAGGCCAGACCCUGCCCUUCCUGGCUGUGUGCCAGUCACAGCAAGUCACUUCCUCUCUCUGAGUCUUGAGUUUCUCUCUAGGAAAUCCCAAACCUUUCCCAGGGCUCAGCAGAGCUGGCAGACUGGUCACCCACCACCUAAAAUGGGGACACUGAGGCCCAGCACAGGCUGUUUGUCAUGUCCACACCUCUCAGGGCCCCCAGCCUUCCCCAGCCAGAACUGAGCACCAGGUGAGGGCUGGACAUGGAGGAAGGCCGUUCGUGCACAGGAGCAUGUAUGCUGACAAACACGUGUGCACACACAUGCCCACCGUGCAGGGAAGGCCCUCAUAGUCAUGCUAGCCCCAGACAUGCACACUCUUGCUGUCACCCAAACACGCGCAGACACCCGCACACUCGAGCUGCCAGCAUUGGGAGCUGGGGGCGGGGCGGGUGCCCUUCAGGAGCAGGGACUCGGCUCCUCUGCCCGCCCCGCGGGGCUUGCUGCAGAUGCCAGGGGUUAUUUUAAGCCUGGAUCAAUGGAUGAGUUUUGGUGACACAGGCUUAGUGGUAGUGGAGGGGGGCAGGCAGAAGAGAUAAGGGGUGGCUGCCCUGGAGCCUUGAUGGGGUGAGAGACCCCGGGGUCCAGGGCAAAGGGGUCACUCCUCGGCCGGGCUGCUCUAUCUCCAGAUCCCCUCACCCGGCACAUGGCCAGGCACCUGGGGCAGUGUCAGCUGAAUGGGCGAUCAGAUCCCAGGACUCAGCCAGUCAGGGUCAGCUGGGCUCUGUGUUCACAGCUGCCCUCUCCUGCUCCACUCACUCCCCGCGGCCAGGUGUUCCCAUGGAGAGAAGAGGGUAUCCAGUGCCUGGCACAGACCCAGUAGUUAUGGUUACCUAUGGCUGCUGGCUGACCACUGAAUCAGAUUGAGACGGGGAGGAAGGAAUGGCCCUAAGGAAAGGAAGCAGGAAAGGACGCUCCAGAAAGUAGAGCUCAGAAGCUCUGAGAAGAAUCACAAAUGAGAAGGUUUUUUUUUGUUUUUUUUUUUUUGUUUGUUUGUUUGUUUUUUUAAGACGGAGUCUCAAUCUGUUUCCCAGGCUGGAGGGCAAUGGUGUGAUCUCAGCUCACUGCAAACUCUGCCUCCCAGGUUCAAGCGAUUCUCUGGCCUCAGCCUUCCGAGUAGCUGGGAUUACAGGCAUAUGCCACCAUGCCCAGCUAAUUUUUGUAUUUUUAGUAGAGGUGGGGUUUCACCAUGUUGGUCAGCCUAGUCUCCAACUCCUGACCUUGUGAUCCACCUGCCUCAGCCUCCCAAAGUGUUGGGAUUACAGGCGUGAGCCACUGCCCCCAGCCAAACGAAAAGUUUAAGGAUGGCAAAAAGUAAACCACAAACUAGUUACAAUCCAGCAUGUAAAUGUGGCAUAUUUUAGUGUGGUUGUCUCUGG